rnacentral:rRNA from 1 species
GACGAACGCUGGCGGCGCGCUUAACACAUGCAAGUCGAGCGAAGCGGCGGACGGGUGAGUAACACGUGAGUAACCUGCCUUAGACAUUGGGAUAGCCUCGGGAAACCGGGAUUAAUACCAAAUGGUCUAAGAUGGACUCGCGGCCCAUUAGCUAGUUGGUGGGUCACGGACCACCAAGGCGACUUUGGGUAGCCGGCCUGGGAGGGUGAACGGCCACAGUGGAACUGAGAAACGGUCAAAACUCUACGGGAGGCAGCAGUGGGGAAUAUUGCACAAUGGCGGGAACUCUGAUGCAGCGACGCCGGGUGAACGAAGAAGGCUUUCGAGUCGUAAAGUUCUUUUAUAUGGGAAGCGGUACCCGAAGAAAAAGCCCCGGCUAACUACGUGCCAGCAGCCGCGGUAAUUC